ACGAACGCUGGCGGCGUGCUUAACACAUGCAAGUCGAACGGAAAGGCCUCUUUCGGGGGGUACUCGAGUGGCGAACGGGUGAGUAACACGUGAGUAACCUGCCCUUGACUUUGGGAUAACUUCAGGAAACUGGGGCUAAUACCGGAUAGGAGCUCCUGCUGCAUGGUGGGGGUUGGAAAGUUUCGGCGGUUGGGGAUGGACUCGCGGCUUAUCAGCUUGUUGGUGGGGUAGUGGCUUACCAAGGCUUUGACGGGUAGCCGGCCUGAGAGGGUGACCGGCCGCAUUGGGACUGAGAUACGGCCCAGACUCCUACGGGAGGGAGCAGUGGGGAAUAUUGCACAAGGGGUGGAAGCCUGAUGCAGCAACGCCGUGUGCGGGAUGACGGCCUUCGGGUUGUAAACCGCUUUCGCUCAUGACGAAGCUUUGUGUGACGGUAGUGGGUAAAGAAGCACCGGCUAACUACGUG
rnacentral:rRNA from 1 species